AGUGAACGCUGGCGGUAGGCCUAACACAUGCAAGUCGAACGGCCGCACAGUAAGAGCUUGCUCUUACGGGUGGCGAGUGGCGGACGGGUGAGGAAUACGUCGGAAUCUACUUUUUCGUGGGGGAUAACGUAGGGAAACUUACGGUAAUACCGAAUACGACCUACGGGUGAAAGCAGGGGAUCUUCGGACCUUGCGCGAAUGAAUGAGACGAUGUCGGAUUAGCUAGUUGGGGGGGUAAAGGCCCACCAAGGCGACGAUCCGUAGCUGGUCUGAGAGGAUGAUCAGCCACACUGGAACUGAGACACGGUCCAGACUCCUACGGGAGGCAGCAGUGGGGAAUAUUGGACAAUGGGCGCAAGCCUGAUCCAGCCAUACCGCGUGGGUGAAGAAGGCCUUCGGGUUGUAAAGCCCUUUUGUUGGGAAAGAAAAGCAGCAGGUUAAUACCCCGCUGUUCUGACGGUACCCAAAGAAUAAGCACCGGCUAACUUCGUG
rnacentral:rRNA from 1 species